rnacentral:lncRNA from 1 species
CAAGGUUUAUAAUCUCUAAAUGUACAUUUGCAUUAACACUAGUGUCUAUUCACAAACAAAAUGCACUAUGAACGACUUGACCUCUAGUAGCUGAGCGACUUGGAAUAAUGUGCUAUGAGAAGCCUUUACCUAUCACGGUGGACAAUAUGUGCCGAUGAAUGCACGCUAGGCUGAUCACUAUCUGCAAAAGGGGAGAUAAGGGGGUGAGUUUCACAAACUUAGUGAUCAUCGACUUCGUGAGUAGGGCGUAGGUGGGAAAAAAGCUUAGAGAAGAUAAUUUGAAGGAUAAAACUAUAGUAUAAAAUGCUAUCCCUAUAAAACCAAAUAACAAAUAAGGUAUUUGUGCCUUGCAAAAAUAAUGUCGUGAAAAUCAUAGUGUAAUACUUUCCUUGGCAAACAAUGUCGAAAUCAAGGCAUAGUAAAAUAGAUUUCAAUCGUCGAAAUCAUUUAUUACUUUCAUGAUUACAAAUGGCCGCAUAAAAACAUGCACGCUCCCAAACUGUGUGGCAUGUAAGAAAAUAACCGAGUACACCCACAUACAUCAAUUCAUGAUCACCAUAUAAAGCAUUGAAAGCUUUUAACUGAAAAGGGGAGCUAUGGAAAAACAAUAUCUCUCCAUCAUGCGAAAGAGUAUGAGUCUAAAAACUCUCAAGGCUCUUGAGUGUUGGUCCCAAGUAAAUGUGCUAGAGGGGGGGGGGUGAAUAGCACAAUUUGGCUCUUUCAAAAUUUGGCUCUAAGUAGAAAUAAACGCAAGAUAAAGGAAUGAAAGAAUAUAAAACAAAAACAGAGUAGACAACACACUAGAAUUUAGAGUGGCUCGGUCCAAGACCUACAUCCAUUACCUUGAUUGUUCAAUCAAGGAUUUUUCAAACAAAUCCACUAUGAACAGUGAAAUUCACAUGCUUUGUCACGACCCGAAACUCUCAUCGAGCCCUUGACAAUUGCCAUGAUGUCCCGAUAGACAUUCAUUACUCGAAAUGUCAAUCGAAACUUCGCAAGGCUUAACAUCAGUUUUCUCGCUUCCCCUGUGAGUAUUAGUUAUUAAAAUCAUGUUUUAAAGUGAUAUGAACCAAUUUCAAUUCAAAAACAGUCAAAGAGAAAUUUCAACUACACAGGGGUAUUUUGGUCAGUUUUUUCAAAAAAUUUGAAAUCAGCUAAAAUGUAGUAUAUGAGAGAAAUUUACACAUUUCAUUAGCAAAAAUAAGUUUAGAUAACUAAAACAUUAAUUUAAAGUGAAAUUAUGACUAAUGGAAUAAAAUAAAAAUAAUGAAUAAAAUAUUCUAAUUUUUCAUAAAAUAAUUUUUAUAGAAGGCUAUGUAAAUAAUUUUUACAACGUAAAAGCAAAAUAAAUUCCUAUAUACAGUAGCACACGUAGGCAGGUAUUCAAAACAUUUAACAAUGACAUGUGGGCCCCCGAAUGACUAAAAGUAAUGAAGGCUAUGAACCUACAGUUUUUGAGGAUGCAAGUCCAACUGUAGCCCUUAACGAAAUGAGCUAUCUAUCGACUAUCCUGAGCCUGAAAUGGGUGGAAAGGAGGGUGGUGAGAUUAUAUAAUCCCAGUGAGUAAACAAAUACCAUCUAAAAUAUCUAAAGAUGAGUAAAUGGAAAUAGAUAAAAUAGAUUAGCAUAAAAACGAUUCACAAUAUUUCGACUCAUUUUAAUAAGAUAAAAUAGAUUCAUUUCACCCAAAUAAACAACAAGGCUUAUGAUUUCCUAAAAAGUUUGGCUCGUGCCAAAAUCAUUCUCAUACUUAGUUAUCAGGGAUACCUUGGCCUGGGGCUAUCCCAACCGACUCCGUCAAGGCUGUUAAAAAAAAUCAUGUACGCAUAAAUCAUGUUUUUAUUUUGAAAACAUAGUCGUUGCUUGGCGUUGGCUGAGUUCACCCUCACGUGGUGGUUUGGCGUGAAGUGAACUCUAAAGUUUUACCUCGAGAGUUACCCCACGUACCUCCCCAACCGAGGUAUGAAUGUAACGGGAUUCCACGCCCCUGAAAAAGGCUGGUCCACAGAACCCGCCCAUUGCAGCAAGCUAAACCCACCAUACAAUAAAAUUUACGAUAGCAUGACAUGGCAAUUAUUUUAUUUAACAGCCUCUCAAGGCAAAUCAAUAGUUCAUACAUUUUCAGCACAUUUACCAAUUCAACCAUUCAUGCCAAUAUUAUCAUAAGCCAUUCAAUUCAAACCAUGAUUUAUAACACAACAAUUAGUCUCCAAUUACUCCAUUUUCAAAACCAUCUUUCAAUUUCAAGACAAUUUUAUAAAAUCAUUUCAUUUAAUCACAUUUUGCUUAUAAAACAUAAAAAUUUACCAUUUAAUUUUCCAUAAAAUCACAAAAUCGGAUAAAAACUACUUUAGAUAACUAAGAAGAUAAUAAGGUUACUCACUAUUUCGGGAGUCGAAUUUCGAGUACUCCGAUUCUUGAUCCUCGGGUACUAUUUCUUUACUUUUGCCAAAAAGCUCACCACCUAGACAUAAUGCACAAUAAGUCAUUUACUACAUUUGUGUUAAACCGUUGUAAAACCAAUUCAGGCUUUAUACUAAUGCAUGAAAUGGGAUGUGAAAUACUCGGGUAACUAUCUCAAUACGGUGUUCAAUAUAAAUUCAAUUAUGUACCUAAAUAAAAUGGUAUUGGCCUAAUUCGAUCUAUCAUUGAUUAAUUGGCCAAUAUGUCCAAUUUAACUCCAAUUAACUCCAUUUUUCUUCCAAUUCUCCAAACCAUCAAACACAAGUCAAAUAGCAUAAAAUUUAGCAAAAUUAUCUUCACAUUUUCUCUUGGGAAUUUCGGCCAUGGUGGGUGCAUCAAUACUAUGAUUUUUCCUACUUGAUUUUCUCACUGUAAUUCAUCAUUUCCUAACCAAUUCACUUGAAAUAAAAUCAAAAUCAUCAUCAAUAUUCCACAUGGAGAAUUCGGCUAAUGAGGGUUAUGGAAGAACAUGAAUUUUUCUUGCUUGAUUUUCAUGCUACACAUCACCAAUCAACUAAAAACACUAGAAUAUCUUAAAAUCUAACCAAAAGAACCAUCAAAAUCUCUCUCUAAGUGUUCGGCCAGCAAGAGACCCAUCAUGAAAUCAUGUGAUUCAACCAUGAAAAAUGCAAAAGAAUGUAUGGGAAAGGUAGAUCACAAGUCAAAAUCAAGAAAUUUUACCUUUGAUUGCUUGAUUACUUGAAAUCCACUAAUUUUCUCUUGAAUUUUCACUCUAGGGUUUUGUUCUUUCUUUUCUUCCUUUGUUCUUGCUUUGGCCGGCCAUAAGAAUGAAU